UAUUAUUCUUAGACGAAUUCUUCCUUAGGUUAGUAAUAGAUAUUUACUUAAAAGCUAAAAAAUUUGGCGGUGAUUUAAUCUUUCCAGAGGAACUUGUUUUUUAAUCGAUAAACCUCGUAAUAUCUUGCUUACUUCUUGUUAUAGUUUGUAUACCGUCAUUAUCAGGUAAUUUUUAAAAAAUAAAUUUCUUAAUUCAAAAAUUUUGUCAAAAUUAGAUCAUGGUGCAGCUUAUGAGUAAGUUAAAAUGAGUUACAAUAAAUUAUUUUAAACGGAAAAUUAAAGGAAUUUUUAAUUUGAAGGAGGAUUUGGUAGUAUUUAAAGUUUAAUAAGCUUAAGAGAUGUUAGCUCUAAAUCAUGUACAUAU
rnacentral:rRNA from 2 species